rnacentral:rRNA from 1 species
UACAGAGGUCUCAAGCGUUGUUCGGAUUCAUUGGGCGUAAAGGGCGCGUAGGCGGCGGGGUAAGUCGGGUGUGAAAUCUCAGAGCUCAACUCUGAAACUGCACUCGAUACUGCUCUGCUUGAGGACUGGAGAGGAGACUGGAAUUCACGGUGUAGCAGUGAAAUGCGUAGAUAUCGUGAGGAAGACCAGUGGCGAAGGCGGGUCUCUGGACAGUUCCUGACGCUGAGGCGCGAAGGCCAGGGGUGCAAACGGG